UUACCCUAAUAAAAAAAUUGGAUGCCAUUUUGUCAAAUUCCCCAGCCGCCUGGCCAAGUCCUUUCUCAGUUUCUCCCUUAGUCAGUUCAGUCUCUCGCCGUCGACGAUGGUCCCUUCUCUCAGUGUAUCUCCAAAUUCAUUCCGGCCGGCGUUCUCCCUUGCAGGCGUGGGUUCUCCGACGCUCAGGUUUUUCCGUGUGAGAUCGAUGUCGUCAAUGUCAGCAGCAUCGCCACUUCAACAACGUCAAACAUCUGCUUCUUCCUCUCAGAAUUUGGACCUCUCCAUUAUGGUAAAUGGAUGCUCGGGAAAGAUGGGAAAGGCUGUUAUCAAAGCUGCUGACUCUGCCGGCCUCAAUGUUGUACCAGUAUCAUUUGGCUCCUUGGAGGAAUCUGGACUAACUAUACAAGCAUCUGGAAAGGAUAUUUUGGUUCAUGGCCCUUCAGAUAGGGAAAAUGUACUUGCAUCAGUUUUUGAUGAAUAUCCAAAUUUGAUCGUGGUGGACUACACCGUGCCUUCUGCUGUGAAUGAUAAUGCAGAGCUUUACUGCAAAGUUGGAAUUCCCUUUGUGAUGGGUACAACAGGUGGAGAUAGAGAUCGGUUGUAUAAAACCGUUGAUGACUCAAAGGUUUAUGCUGUAAUCUCCCCGCAAAUGGGCAAGCAGGUCGUUGCCUUCCUUGCAGCUAUGGAAAUAAUGGCUGAGCAGUUUCCUGGGGCCUUCUCUGGUUACUCUCUAGAGGUGAUGGAGUCGCAUCAAACAAGCAAGGUGGAUGCAUCUGGGACUGCCAAGGCAGUCAUUUCUUGCUUCCAGAAAUUAGGUGUCUCUUUUGAUAUGGAUCAGAUAAAAUUGAUCCGGGAUCCCAAGCAACAGAUUGAAAUGGUGGGAGUUCCAGAGGAGCAUUUAUCUGGUCACGCAUUCCAUAUGUAUCAUUUGACAUCACCAGACAAGACAGUUUCUUUUGAGUUUCAGCAUAAUGUUUGUGGUAGGUCAAUUUAUGCUGAGGGCACAGUAGAUGCUGUUCUUUUCCUCGCAAAAAAAUUUUAGCAGGUUGGGGAUUACUAAUCCAAAGCUGAGGAACGAGGGUCUCCUCGCCAAAUGGAUUUGAAGAUAUAGGGUGGGAAAACAUGCUUUGUGGAGAAGGGUCGUUGCUGCCAAAUUCGGCUCCUCCAAUUGUGAUAACAAAGCUGGCUCCCGCUCCCUGUCACUGCUAAAGGCCCAUGGAAGGCCAUUUCUAUCCUCCAACCCCUGGUGGACCAACAUGUGGUGGUGACUCUCGGUCGUUCGGUCUCUUUUUGGUUCGACUCCUAGAUUCAGUCGAAGGCAGACAAACGGAUAUACAAUAUGAUCGAUGUAUUGCGGGAGGGUAACAUGAGAUGAGACAAGAAGUGGACCUCCUACGGUGCCAUUUACAAUAAAUAAUAUCUCAGGUUGGGGAUAUAUGGAAUUUUUGUUAACGGGGAAAAGGAUUUUAGAAUUCAACCAAUUAUUAGGGCAAUAACUUAAACUUGUUAACCUUGUUGGUCAUAAAAAAAAAAUCUUGUUAACCUUGUAUCUAUCUUAUGCUUCUACCAUCAUCUCAUGCGGGAGCUUACUCUGGGAAUUCCAGCCAUUGAAUCUUUUCAUAUUGUUGAAGCAAUCAUCAUAAUGAAUCCGAGCUCGACUUCAUGGAGUAUAUGGAGAAACUCGUGGUGGUUCAUAGUUUGAUCUCAAUGCUGUUUGUUGAAUUGAGAAUUGAAAUCUUCGAGGAGUUUGAGCUCUCCUAGGUCUAUGCAGAUACUGUUUGUUUCUUACCACUUUGAGCUAAGCAGGAAAGGUUAUUUGGUUGUAGUCCUGUCCAUGUAUAAGAUAGGACUUGGUCUCUGUUUUUAUUUUCGAAAAAUUUUGUUCCCAAAAAUUGUUUUCAAGAGAAACCUCUGCAGGUUGUUUCAGCUGUAAUGAAGUAUUUGGAAUCCUUUUAGCUUAUUUA